UCAUAUAUGUGACAGGGUUAUAUUUUGGGAAAAUGUAUAAUAAUAAAUUGUGUAUUAUGUAUUUUUAAUUUCUGGUGCGAUAGUCUUUAGUUCAAAGUAUUUGUGUGACUUGUUUGGAGAGUAAGUUCUGUGUGUCUUGUAUGUAGGACAGGUAUGUAAGGAAUGUGAGUAUGUAUGUCAUGUGACCUGACAUAGACUUUUCAUUGGACAGUUUUACCUAACACGCAUGCUUUUAAUCACUUUUCUAUAUUCAAAAUCACUUCUGCUUUGGUAUCCAAGCACAUAACAUCUACGAAGUCAUUGUCCGAAUGUUCAAAGAGAUCUGGUGAGUUUUUACUAUUAUUGGUGUUAUUUUGAUACUUAAAUGUAUAUUAUAUUGUUGUGCUAUGAUACAACAUGUAAUUAUGUUUUUUAUGGAUAUUUUAAUAUAUUACUUGAGUAGAGAAUCUGGGGCUGAGCCACAAGAUGUAUCUCUUUGUCAUUUCAUUGUAAAAAGUAUACGUUCAAAUGUGUAGUUGUGGUUUGUGAAUCAACCUUACAAAAUUCACAUAACUAGUAUUAUAUCAAUGUAUUUUUAUUACAGCUGAUGUACAAUGUAUUUGUAAAAUCAAAUCUAAAACAGCUGUGUGUUGAUGUUGAAACAUCAUUACGGAACCUCCGCAUGAUAUGUGGGGGUUUUUUAAUACCGUGAUGAACGGUUACAAUAAACCAACAUGAAGCUGA